GAUGAACGCUGGCGGCGUGCCUAAUACAUGCAAGUCGAGCGAACGGACGAGAAGCUUGCUUCUCUGAUGUUAGCGGCGGACGGGUGAGUAACACGUGGAUAACCUACCUAUAAGACUGGGAUAACUUCGGGAAACCGGAGCUAAUACCGGAUAAUAUUUUGAACCGCAUGGUUCAAAAGUGAAAGACGGUCUUGCUGUCACUUAUAGAUGGAUCCGCGCUGCAUUAGCUAGUUGGUAAGGUAACGGCUUACCAAGGCAACGAUGCAUAGCCGACCUGAGAGGGUGAUCGGCCACACUGGAACUGAGACACGGUCCAGACUCCUACGGGAGGCAGCAGUAGGGAAUCUUCCGCAAUGGGCGAAAGCCUGACGGAGCAACGCCGCGUGAGUGAUGAAGGUCUUCGGAUCGUAAAACUCUGUUAUUAGGGAAGAACAUAUGUGUAAGUAACUGUGCACAUCUUGACGGUACCUAAUCAGAAAGCCACGGCUAACUACGUGCCAGCAGCCGCGGUAAUACGUAGGUGGGCAGCGUUAUCCNGAAUUAUGGGCGUAAAGCGCGCGUAGGCGGUUUUUUAGUCUGAUGUGAAAGCCCACGGCUCAACCGUGGAGGGUCAUUGGAAACUGGAAAACUUGAGUGCAGAAGAGGAAAGUGGAAUUCCAUGUGUAGCGGUGAAAUGCGCAGAGAUAUGGAGGAACACCAGUGGCGAAGGCGACUUUCAGGUCUGUAACUGACGCUGAUGUGCGAAAGCGUGGGGAUCAAACAGGAUUAGAUACCCUGGUAGUCCGCGCCGUAAACGAUGAGUGCUAAGUGUUAGGGGGUUUCCGCCCCUUAGUGCUGCAGCUAACGCAUUAAGCACUCCGCCUGGGGAGUACGACCGCAAGGUUGAAACUCAAAGGAAUUGACGGGGACCCGCACAAGCGGUGGAGCAUGUGGUUUAAUUCGAAGCAACGCGAAGAACCUUACCAAAUCUUGACAUCCUUUGACAACUCUAGAGAUAGAGCCUUCCCCUUCGGGGGACAAAGUGACAGGUGGUGCAUGGUUGUCGUCAGCUCGUGUCGUGAGAUGUUGGGUUAAGUCCCGCAACGAGCGCAACCCUUAAGCUUAGUUGCCAUCAUUAAGUUGGGCACUCUAAGUUGACUGCCGGUGACAAACCGGAGGAAGGUGGGGAUGACGUCAAAUCAUCAUGCCCCUUAUGAUUUGGGCUACACACGUGCUACAAUGGACAAUACAAAGGGCAGCGAAACCGCGAGGUCAAGCAAAUCCCAUAAAGUUGUUCUCAGUUCGGAUUGUAGUCUGCAACUCGACUACAUGAAGCUGGAAUCGCUAGUAAUCGUAGAUCAGCAUGCUACGGUGAAUACGUUCCCGGGUCU
rnacentral:rRNA from 1 species